rnacentral:rRNA from 1 species
CAGUCGCCGCGGUAAUACAGAGGAUGCAAGCGUUAUCCGGAAUGAUUGGGCGUAAAGGGAGCGCAGGCGGGCGAGUAAGUCUUUCUUAAAAGUGCGGGGCUCAACCCCGUGAGGGGAGAGAAACUACUCAUCUUGAGUGCAGGAGAGGAAAGCGGAAUUCCUAGUGUAGCGGUGAAAUGCGUAGAUAUUAGGAAGAACACCAGUGGCGAAGGCGGCUUUCUGGACUGUAACUGACGCUGAGGCUCGAAAGCCAGGGGAGCGAGCGGGAUUAGAUACCCCAGUAGUCCCUGUCUCUUAUACA